rnacentral:lncRNA from 1 species
CUUGAGGCCGAAUGCUUUCGUUCAACUCCGGCUCCUCAAGGGGCGUUUCCUUUAGUUUUAGAAUCCUUGGAGGUAGGCGUUUUAAAAUGCAUCUUUUAUUAAUUUCCUUCCAAACACAAGGAAAAGCCCGCGGACGACCUGUGGGUCGUCUAAUUCACAAGACGCAGUUUUACGUGAAGGAACGAGACUAGUAACGUACUUUGACCUUUAACCUCUAGCCGGUGCAGUGGAGGGAAACGCCUCCGUCUCUAUAUAAGGACUUUUCCGGCCGGUCCCGGCCCUUUUUCUCCCUCAGCGCUGGCCGCGGGCUUCUAGCGCUCUUUUCCUCCGCUCCCGGUUACAGUCGACGCCAUGGGUUUCGGAGACCUGAAAACCCCCGCCGGCCUCCAGGUGCUCAACGAUUACCUGGCGGACAAGAGCUACAUUGAGGGGUGAGCCGGGAGCCCCGGGGGCCACGUGGCGCGGGCUCGGCGGGAGGGAAGCGGGUCGCCGGAAACUAGGGGAAGCCGAGUUAGGUCUCCCGAGUCUCGGAUGCCACUGGAGCAGGACCUCCCUGGAGGGGCUGCCAGCGCAAUAAUUGAAAUAAUGCUUGCUCUCCGUGUAACUACGUUCAGCCGGUUCUUCCGCGUCCUCUGACUAGUUAAUUUAAACCUGUGGCAAGCCCGAGGUAGCCUUUGAGUUCUCCCAAGUGGUAGAGAAUUCUUGGCUUGUACAGAUUGAAACAUAUUUUGUGCACUUCCGAUUAGAAGCAAUUUAGGUUAGCCCUGUAAUAGUUCCCACUAGUAGUUAGUUUGGCGGGUAUGGGCUGUGUCAUUUACCAGUUAGGUGUUUGUGUCUUUUCUUUUAAAGGUGCGUGUACUUGUUUUUGUGUUACCUGCAGGUACGUGCCAUCACAAGCCGAUGUGGCAGUAUUUGAAGCAAUCUCUGGUCCACCACCCGCUGACCUGUGUCAUGCUCUGCGUUGGUAUAAUCAUAUCAAAUCUUACGAAAAAGAAAAGGCCAGCUUGCCGGGAGUGAAGAAAUCUUUGGGCAAGUAUGGCCCUGUCAGUGUGGCAGAUACCACAGGAAGUGGAGCAGCAGAUGCUAAAGACGAUGAUGACAUUGAUCUCUUCGGAUCUGAUGAUGAGGAGGAAAGUGAAGACGCAAAGAGGCUACGAGAAGAACGCCUUGCUCAGUAUGAGUCAAAGAAAGCUAAAAAGCCUGCAGUUGUUGCGAAGUCUUCCA